rnacentral:rRNA from 1 species
GACGGAGGAUGCAAGCGUUAUCCGGAAUGAUUGGGCGUAAAGCGUCCGCAGGUGGCAGUUCAAGUCUGCUGUCAAAGACCGGGGCUUAACUUCGGAAAGGCAGUGGAAACUGAACAGCUAGAGUAUGGUAGGGGCAGAGGGAAUUCCUGGUGUAGCGGUGAAAUGCGUAGAGAUCAGGAAGAACAUCGGUGGCGAAGGCGCCCUGCUGGACCAUAACUGACACUCAGGGACGAAAGCUAGGGUAGCAAAUGGG